AGUGAACGCUGGCGGUAGGCCUAACACAUGCAAGUCGAACGGCAGCACAGUAAGAGUUUGCUCUUACGGGUGGCGAGUGGCGGACGGGUGAGGAAUACAUCGGAAUCUACUUUUUCGUGGGGGAUAACGUAGGGAAACUUACGCUAAUACCGCAUACGACCUACGGGUGAAAGCAGGGGAUCUUCGGACCUUGCGCGAUUGAAUGAGCCGAUGUCGGAUUAGCUAGUUGGCGGGGUAAAGGCCCACCAAGGCGACGAUCCGUAGCUGGUCUGAGAGGAUGAUCAGCCACACUGGAACUGAGACACGGUCCAGACUCCUACGGGAGGCAGCAGUGGGGAAUAUUGGACAAUGGGCGCAAGCCUGAUCCAGCCAUACCGCGUGGGUGAAGAAGGCCUUCGGGUUGUAAAGCCCUUUUGUUGGGAAAGAAAGGCAGCAGGUUAAUACCCCGCUGUUCUGACGGUACCCAAAGAAUAAGCACCGGCUAACUUCGUG
rnacentral:rRNA from 1 species